rnacentral:lncRNA from 1 species
GAGGUAUAAUUUAUAUACAGUAAAUACCCACACAUUUUAAGUGUACUGUUCAGUGAAUUUUGACAUAUACCCAACCAUUUUAAUCCUCAAAUUUCCCUGUGCCUCUUUUCAAUCAAUCCCCUCCUCUGUCACCUCAAGUUGCCAGUGAUUUGAUUUCUAUUACUGUGGAUUAGUUUUACUUACUGCUGAACUUAAUAUAAAUAGAAAUUUAUUUCUUUUAAGUGGAGUGGUUAGCUAUUC